AGCGGCCGCGGUAAUUCCAGCUCCAAUAGCGUAUAUUAAAGUUGUUGCAGUUAAGAAGCUCGUAGUUGAAUUUCGGGAUCAAUAUAUCGGUCGUGCCUUGGUACGUACUGGUAUCAUUGGUCUCUCCUUUCUGACGAACCAUGAUGUCAUUAAUUUGGUGUUAUGGGAAGUUAGGACUGUUACUUUGAAAAAUUAGAGUGUUUAAAGCAGGCUUUGGCUUGAAUACAUUAGCAUGGAAUAAUGAAAUAGGACGUUCGAACCUAUUUUGUUGGUUUCUAGGAUUGACGUAAUGAUUAAUAGGGAUAGUUGGGGGCAUUAGUAUUCAAUUGUCAGAGGUGAAAUUCUUGGAUUUAUUGAAGACUAACUACUGCGAAAGCAUUUGCCAAGGAUGUUUUCAUUAAUCAAGAACGAAAGUUAGGGGAUCGAAGACGAUCAGAUACCGUCGUAGUCUUAACCAUAAACUAUGCCGACUAGGGAUCGGAUGAUGUUAAUUUUUAAUGUACUCAUUCGGCGCCUUACG
rnacentral:misc_RNA from 1 species